GGUCGCAGGUUCGAAUCCUGCACGACCCACCAAUCGUUCGGUGGAAACGAGAAUAAAACGUGAAGGAUAACGUUGCGUCAGCAACGGCCCGUAGGGCGAGGCAAAGCCUAGUCAUCCUGCACAACCCACCA
rnacentral:sRNA from 1 species